rnacentral:ncRNA from 2 species
ACACAAACUCAUGCUAAACUACUCAAACCUAGAGUUGGGAAAGUCCGGUGAGAUCCCGGUACUGUGCCGCAGCUGUAAUCCGAUGAGAAAUUGGUCAGUGGUUAGUAGUUAAUGGUUUGGUUAAUAGUUGGUGGAAAAACCAACAACCAACAACCAACAACCAACAACCAACCAAUUCGGUGAGUCAGAAUGCCAACUUCUAGGGGUGUUGCCAA